AGUGUCUGAUUGAGCCGCGCC
rnacentral:miRNA from 1 species